rnacentral:rRNA from 1 species
GGGAAUUCGAUUAGAGUUUGAUCCUGGCUCAGAUUGAACGCUGGCGGCAGGCCUAACACAUGCAAGUCGAGCGGAUGAGAAGAGCUUGCUCUUCGAUUCAGCGGCGGACGGGUGAGUAAUGCCUAGGAAUCUGCCUGGUAGUGGGGGACAACGUUUCGAAAGGAACGCUAAUACCGCAUACGUCCUACGGGAGAAAGCAGGGGACCUUCGGGCCUUGCGCUAUCAGAUGAGCCUAGGUCGGAUUAGCUAGUUGGUGAGGUAAUGGCUCACCAAGGCGACGAUCCGUAACUGGUCUGAGAGGAUGAUCAGUCACACUGGAACUGAGACACGGUCCAGACUCCUACGGGAGGCAGCAGUGGGGAAUAUUGGACAAUGGGCGAAAGCCUGAUCCAGCCAUGCCGCGUGUGUGAAGAAAGUCUUCGGAUUGUAAAGCACUUUAAGUUGGGAGGAAGGGCAUUAACCUAAUACGUUAGUGUUUUGACGUUACCGACAGAAUAAGAACCGGCUAACUCUGUGCCAGCAGCCGCGGUAAUACAGAAGGUGCAAGCGUUAAUCGGAAUUACUGGGCGUAAAGCGCGCGUAAGUGGUUUGUUAACUUGGAUGUGAAAACCCCGGGCUCAACCUGGGAACUGGAUCCACAACUGGCCAGCUAGAGUACUGUAUAAAGGGGGAGGGAAUUCCUGUGUUCCGGUGAAAUGCCGAGAUUUAAGAAGGAACACCAAGGGCGAUAGUUAACCCCUGUCACUUAUACUGAUCUUGAGGUGGGCAAGUGGGGAGGAGAAACUGGAAUUAAAAUCAUGG